AUCAGUCAGAAGAAGGGUUUCGGCCCGAAACGUCACCCAUUUCCUUCGCUCCAUAGAUGCUGCUGCACCCGCUGAGUUUCUCCAGCAUUUUUGUGUGCCUACUUUUAAUGACUGGUGUACCAUGACACCCAGGUCUCGUUGCAUCUCCCCCUUUCCUAAUUCAGAUAAUAGUCUACUUUCCUGUUUUUGUCAUUUUUCCUGUAAUUGAAUUUAGUGAUGUGGGAGGAAACCUGGAGGAAACCCACACGGUCACUGGGAGAACAUUGAACACCCAUUCACACUAAUGUUAUGUUAUACCACUCCCAUCCAUUCUUACACAUUUGGGGCAAUUUACGGAGUUCAAUUAAUCUACAAACCCGCAAGUCUUUGGGAUGUGGGAGGAAAAGGGAGUUCCCGGCCAAAACUCAUGCAGUCACGGGAAGAACAUGCGAACUCCUCGCGGACAGCUGCUGCGAUGUGGGUCUCUGGAGCCGUGAGCAGAAGCUCUACCAGCUGUCCCACUGUGCUAUCCUGGAGCAUGAUGCCGCAACUGAGAAACAAUGGGAACAUUGGUGAGGCUUGGGACCCUUUACCACCCACCUUACCCUCUAUCGAAAUAAGUCCUUACAUUUGUGCAUGGGUAUACUGCUUCAGAAUGGUUCGUAGUGUGAAAGGACAAAAUAAAAAGACACAGCUGGAGUAACUCAGUGGGUCAGGCAACAUCCCUGGGGAAUGUGGCUAGGUCUGUGGAAUUCUCUGCCUCAGAGGGCGGUGGAGGCAGGUUCUCUGGAUGCUUUCAAGAGAGAGCUAGAUAGGGCUCUUAAAAAUAGUGGAGUCAGGGGAUAUGGGGAGAAGGCAGGAACGGGGUACUGAUUGGGGAUGAUCAGCCAUGAUCAUAUUGAAUGGUGGUGCUGGCUCUAUGGGACGAAUGGCCUCCUCCUGCACUUAUUGUCUAUUGUUUAUUGUGAUGUUUUGGGUUGGGACAAACUUCUUCAGACUUCAGAUGUUUCUACGUUGAUGAUCCAGUGGUGCAUUCCCCAAUAGCAGUUCAGGUAAGGUUGCAUCUUUAAUCUUACACCACUGUGAAUAAAUAUCAUUUCAUUCAGGCUGGUUCUUGGCUUGAGGCUAUUAAAUGUUGUUAUAGAUCAUUUGAUUCUGAUUCUGAGUUGGAUGGGUACAUGGAUAAUUCUGUUGAAAUAUACAGUGCAGAAAUGGGCCCUUUGGACCAGUGAUCCCCGUACACUACAUGUGUAGGAAGUUGCUGGUUUAAACUGCUGGAUAAAUGCUGGAAUAACUCAGCACGACAGGCAGCAUCUCCAAAGAGAAGGAAUGGGAAACAUUUUGGGUCAAGACCCUUCUUCAGAUUGGCUACUCAACCCAAAAUGUCACCCAUUCCUUCUGUCCAGAGAUGCUGCCUUUCAUCACAGUGGAUGUUUGUGUUAAUUGUUAUGUAGUGUGUCUUGUUGCUUUUCUGGUAUGACUAUAUGGGAAAUCAAAUUCCUUGUUUGUUUUUACAUACUUGGCUAAUAAAUUAAUUACAAUUACAAUGUGAGGGCCUCAUCUACGAGAGAAGAGGAGAACUCUGUUCAUUAAAGAAUGAGGAUAUCUCGGAUGUCUGGGUGUGGAUCUCCUCAUCUUGGGAUAAAUUUUAAAAGCUGGAGUAACUCAGUGGAAGAGGCAUCAUCUCUGGAGAGAAGGAAUGGGUGACAUUUCAGGGUCAGUCCCUUCUAUCUUCGGUUUAAACUAGCAUCAGCAGCUCUUUCCUGCACACUUCAUCUCGUGAGCAGAUGCGGCGUGGACUGAGGUAUUGGGAGUAGGGGAUAGAGUCUUUGCGGGAGGCAGAGUGGGAAGAAGUGUGGUCCAGGUGAAGCAGGGUCCCGACCUGAAACAUCACCCAGCCCUUUUUCUCCAGAGAUGCUGCCUGACUUGCUGAGUUACUCCAGCACUUUGUGUCUCAUCUCUGGUAUUUACAGUAGCAGCAUCUGCUGUUCCGUUGUACACCACUCCAAUAUUGGUUCAGCAAUUAUACACCACUAUUUUGACAAUGAGAGGUUGAGCAAUUGAAAGCUAUUUCUGGACAGCACAUCAGAGGCAUUGCCUGUCCUUGGACCUGCUGAUGGAAACUCUGUGAUGAUGUUUCUCAUUUGUCAAUUUAGAGACGGCUUGUGUUUGCCACCUGCACCUUCCAUUACAAAUUAUGCUUUGGAAGAACAUUGUGACAUGUCUUGUUAGUUCUCUAUCUGGCCAUCAGCAAUUAAACUGAGUGUAAAUGUUGAAGCCUAUUCUUUUGCUCCUUGAAACGGAGACCGCAGCAUUAGUAAGGUUAAUUAACUAGCAUUUCUUGUUUUAUUUUCUGGCACCUUAGACUGAACUUCAAAGAAAUCAAACAAAUUCUUCGUAAGUUAAAUAUUUUGGAUCUUUUCCCUGAUCAGAACAAAUGAUGUAUAAAUACCAAUUCUUUUUAUUGAGAAGGUCAGCUGAGGACUGUCAAUUUAAAAUUGCCAUCUAAUAAUAAUAAUAAUAAAUUGAAUUUAUAUAGCGCUUUUCAGGGACUCAAAGUCACUUUACAAGGCAAGGCAAAAAAACAAAAACAAAAAAACAAAAACAAAAACCAAAACAAAACAAAACAAAACAAAAACAGAGCAACAAUUCAAGCACAGAUGAAAAGGGAGGGGGACGUGGGGCUAAGGAUAGUCAGAGGUAAAGAGAUGGGUCUUGAGGCGGUACUGGAAGAUGGCGAGGGACUCAGAAUUGCGGAUCAGUUGUGCAAAGAUAUGUCCGAUAGAUAGAAGCAUUUGGGCAAAUUGUGAGUGACACAAUGAAAGGGGGACAAUGGAGCAGUUGGUUGAGCUGCUGCCUCUCAACUCCAGAGACGCUGGUUCGAUCCAGCCCUUGGGUGCUGUUUGUGUGGAGUUUGCACGUUCUCCCUGUGACCCCGUGGGUUUCCUCCGGGUGACCCGGUUGCCUCCUACAUCCCAAAGACGUGCAGGUUUGUAGGUUAAUUGUCCUCUUGUAAAUUGUCCCUAGUGUGUCAGGUGGAUAAGAAUAUGGGAUCGCACAGAACUGGUAUAUGAACGAGCGUUGCAAAUAUGCAAAUGUUUAACAUACUAUUAUUUGUCUGUUUUAACAUACACUGAUUUUUCUGUUGCUGUUUAUUAUGAGUCCACAGAGUACUAUGUUUACAUAUCUGCUGUGCUGCUGCAAGUAAGAACUUGAUUGUCCCGUUUUGGAACAUGGGACAAUAAAACAUUCGUGACUCUUGACUGAUCUAUAUUACUAAAUCUCUGAUCUUGACCGCUUUUGGCCGACUGUGCUGCGAUUUCCGAGGGAAUGCCGCCACCUAUGGCCGUCAUUUUUGGCCACCUCGCUCAGACCCAUAUGAGUGCAGAGGAUUUUUUCCUUCGAUGAGAAAUGAGAGAGAUAUCAAUGUUUUUACAAAAUUCCCCAUUCUCUCUGCUGCCCCCGCUGGCGGCAGGGGGAGGGCCUAUAAAAGCAGGAAGUGUCGUGCCUCACUUAGUCUCUGCCAGACCCAGGAAGCGAGAGGGUCGCGGAUCACUGAGCUGCGAAUAACACUGAACGCACGUCUACUCCACGGUGAGUCCCCUCGAUGCGGCUGUAAAGUGGCUGCAGCCCAUUUUAACAGUUUUUUGUUCACAAAAUAAAUUUUGGUUGUCGGGUGUCUGCAGCCCAAUUGUUUGCCAUGGCUUGGCUUUUAAAAUCGUUGCAACAGUUGGAUGGCAGCCCAAGCAUCCAUACAGCUCACAAUGUCUAUACUAGCCCUCUGGAAACCAGUACCUUCAGCCCGCAACACCCAUACUAGCGCAACAGACAUCCCCCCCCACUUGCGAGCAGUAUUGGAAUUGGUGGAGAGGUGGAAUAUUGCAUUGGUGACCAGCCCUCCCUUGUGAUGCUGGGACCCAACGGGUCCCACUUAGUCUAGUUACUAUUAAAAAUAGGAUAACAUAAAAUUUGUGAGAACGGAUGAUCGAUGGUCGGCUUGGGCCAAAGGACCUGUUUCUAUGCUGUAUCAUUCUACUAAUCAAUCAUUAAGAAAGCUGGUGGAAGCUGAGACAGAAGAUGCUGACAUGUUGAAAUAAUGAGUUAGCGGCAACAUUAUAAUAAAGGACGGCUGAUAGCUCAGAGGGCAAACACCAAAGAUCAGUGGAAGCAACAUAGCGAUCUGUAAGCAAAAGACAGUGAGUAACAAAUUGACACAAAAUAAUUGAUAAAGUCAUGAGCUUAUGAUCAACAAUAGUUCAACCGAACUUUACUUGUCACAUAUGCAACUGCACAGUGAAGUUCUGAUUGCAUAUUUUAUACAUGCUGGUGCCGCCAUUUUUGGCGCCAUUGCGAGUUCGAUGUUCCCGCGAACCAAUGUCCCUCUCCUCUCCUGGUCAUCUUUGUGUCCCUACAAUGCUGUCUGCAGCCUAACUUUAAGGCAUUUUGGGGUGCUGGCCUUUAUAAAUCAGAACAUUGCGUAUAGAAGUUGGGAUGUAAUGUUAAAAUUGUACAAGGCAUUGGUGAGGCCAAUUCUGGAGUAUGGUGUACAAUUUUGGUCGCCUAAUUAUAGGAAGGAUGUCAACAAAAUAGAGCGAGUAAAGAAGAGAUUUACUCGAAUGUUGCCUGGGUUUCAGCAACUAAGUUACAGAGAAAGGUUGAACAAGUUAGGUCUUUAUUCUUUGGAGUGCAGAAGGUUAAGGGGGGACUUGAUGGAGGUUUUUAAAAUGAUGAGAGGGAUAGACAGAGUUGAUGUGGAUAAGCUUUUCCCACUGAGAGUAGGGAAGAUUCAAACAAGGGGACAUGAUUUGAGAAUUAAGGGACAGAAGUUUAGGGGUAACACGAGGGGGGACUUCUUUACUCAGAGAGUGGUAGCUGUGUGAAAUGAGCUUUCAGUGAAGGUGGUGGAGGCAGGUUCGAUUUUAUCAUUUAAAAAUAAAUUGGAUAGUUAUAUGGACGGGAAAGGAAUGGAGGGUUAUGGUCUGAGUGCAGGUAGAUGGGACUAGGGGAGAAUACGUGUUUGGCACGGACUAGAAGGGUUGAGAUGGCCUGUUUUUGUUGCUGUAAUUGUUAUAUGGUUAUAUGGUUAUUUGAGGCAUUAUACUGGUUUGCCCUUCUGCCCUCCUCACAACCAACAUCUUCAGCUCUGUGCCGACUGAUUAGCCAUUGGGCAAGUUACCGUUCCAACAUCCCUCUCGCUCGCCGACUGCGUCAACUCUUUGUAGAAACUAAUGUGAACAAAGUAUUUCAGAAGAAAGAUUAGUAUAACAUUGAAACUAAUAAUGAGGCUUAAUGUGGGAAAAAUCAAGAGCUACUUAAUCUUUAUGGGCUGAGACCUAAGAUAUUACUUCGGAGUCACGUGAGUGACUACGUGAAGAACCCGCUCAGCGUGCAUGCGCGUCUUUACGCCAGCAGGGCAACAAGCGGCGGCAGCUGGAGUUAGGCUCUCCCGCUGCAGUUUAAAAAACGGACCAUUAGGUAAGUACACUGAGGUGUGGAAAGGAGUCUAACGGAGGAGGAGAGUUGUGUGUGUGUUUUCUGCUUACAGAAAUGAGUGCACUUAAGAAAAAACUCUCAAAGAGAACUGCCCCCCGCUCAACUCCACCAGAGGAGCGUUCAAUCUCAGGGGGGCAGCAACAGGCGGCAGGACCGCUCAUAGAGCGCUCCACCAUCCCCGACGCCGAGCCAAGCCCAGUCCCGCUAAUGCCUGAACAGCGGACUGGGAAAAAAUCCACCAGGAAAACCAACCGGCUGGUGAUUUCCGAUUCGUCGGACGGGGACAUGUCUCCACCUAAACGGAGGAGAGACAGCCGCCUGAGCUGCAUACAACAGCUCUUGGAGCAGAUGCUCCAGCGGGAUGCGCAGAAAGAGCGCUCUCACGGAGGGAGAUCAGGCACCUCCUCCACAGUGUCUUGUGCACUACCCUCUGCUCCCUCAUCACUGGAGGCUAGCAUUGGUGACCAGGGCUGGGCUGGUCUGGAACAGGGGCUAUGUAGCAACCCCAUGUGCUGGAAGACCACUGGAACGGAAAUUGGCGGCCAGCAUAAAUCAUCUUUCGAAUAAGCCCUUGCAGGAAAAGGUGCUUUCUUUUUUUUGUUUUUUUUUUUUGUUUAUUUUAUUAGAAGUUAAUACAGUACAAAACAGUACAGUGGAACCUAAUUUUAGGUGCCACCUAUGUCAUACCGUAAUCCAUUCUAUGUACAACCUCUAGUUUUAUGUUAUGAGAAGGAAGUAAGCAAGACAAGAAAAAGAAAACAAUAGAAAGGGGAAAACGUGGCAAAAUAGAUGGUAGAGAGUAGAAAAACGUGACGUGUGUAUAUAAAAAAGAUAAAUAAAUAAAAAGUGGAAAGUAGAAAUAGAAGAAAAGAGAAUUUUUCAAAUCUGUAUUCGGAGAUGUAGAUCUAUCCACGUCAUGAACUGAAAUCAGCAAUCUUUACCAUACCGCUGCAUCACAUGAUUCUAAAAAGUCGAUGAAAGGAGACCAACUCCUUACGAAUUGGACAUAUUUCUCUAUUAGUCGGAGUCUCAUUUCUUCAAGGCGUGCUAUGUCCAUCAUAUUCCUAAUCCACAUUUUAACAGUUGGUAUGGUUGUAUUUUUCCAAAAUGUAAGUAUCAAUUUCUUUCCAAUUUUUAACCCAUAAUUAAAAAAAACAUUUUGGUCUUUAUUUAAAUUGGUAUCUUCUCCUAUUAUUCCAAAUAUAAUCCAUUCCAUUUUGAGUUCUAUUCUUGACAUGAAAAGCUUUGUAAAUAUAUCAAAUAUAUCACUCCAAAAUUUAUUCAACUUUGUACAUCCUACAAAUGAAUGUGUUAUAUUAGCGUUUUGAAACAAACAUUUAUCGCAUCUGGGAGAGACAUUUGGAUAAAAUUUAUUGAACCUCGUUUUUGAAUAAUAUAGUCUAUGUAAUAAUUUUGAAUUGAAUUAAAUUAUGUCUUGCAUUAAUAGAACAGUUAUGUGUAUUCAUCAAAUACUUUUCCCAUCUAUCCUUCGAGAUCUUUAUCAUUAGCUCAUGUUCCCAAUCUUCCCUUAGUGCUUCUGUUGAGGGUGAUUCUCUAUUUAAUAUUUACAUUACUAAAACUCAGUUCUUGACCGCUUUUCCCGAUCUGUGCUGCGAUUUCCGAGAGAACGCCGCCACCUACGGCCGUCAUUUUUGGCCACCUCCCUCAGAGCCCCCCUCUGCCGCAUGUGUGCCGAGGAUUUUUCCCCUCGAUGAAAUAUGACCGAGAUAUUAAUGUUUUUACAUCAUUCCCCAUUCUCUCUGCUGCCCCCGCUGGCGGCAGGGGAGGGAGGGGCUAUAAAACCCGGAAGCGUCCCGCUUCAACUCACUUUCUUGCCGGCCACGAAGUGAAAGGGUCACGGCUCUCUGAGCUGCAGCUCUGCUCCCAGGCCAGUAAUGCGCGAAAGAACCUUUUUAUUUCGAUCAGCACUGUGUUUAAAUUUAAAAUUGGCGGACAUUUUGUGAUUGUGGCGGUUUGAAGAUGGCGACGAUGACGUCAUUUCCGGCGAUCGGUAAGAUGGCGGUGAUGACGUCAUUUCCGGUGAUUGGGAAGAUGGCGGCGAUGACGUCAUUUCCGGUCGGAGGCAAGAUGGCGCUGAAGACGUGCACGAGGUGUUGAAUGAUUCUACAGACUGUAUCCUCUAGGAUAGCAGCUACAUUUCUGCCUGGUGGAAGAACGACACAUUCUCGAUUCAAGAUACCCAUCCAAGUGGCCGAGGAUACAUUGUGCAACAUCGAGAAGAACUCUAAGACGGCACAUUUCACGAG